rnacentral:lncRNA from 1 species
GAUGGCGCCUUUCAGUAUCCAACCUCAAGUCGUGAGAAAUAUAAUGUAUAUACCAGAUAGUCCUAUACGUAUUUAUGCCUCCAUCAUGUUUAUAUGCAUAUAAGUAAAUCAAUCCCACAGCAAUCAUUUUUGGAAAUCAGUAACAUAUAAUGGCUUGGAUUCAUUUCUGUCUUAAACGUGUUGGUCUCUAAAAAGGUCGGAAUAAGUCAUAUUAUCGGGAUCAUUUGAUGAUAUCAUUUGCUUCUUUUUGUUUGUUUUUCUUUUGGUGAAAGAAAUGUCCCAUCUACUCAAUUCCCCAGCCCAUCCUGUCUCCUAUCUGUUUCACUAUUGACGGUAUUGAACAUUGUUGUAUGUUAGCUUACAUUUCCCAGGAUCUUCUUCUUCUUCUUCUUCUUCUUCUUUUGUUUAUUUUUCUUUAUUUUGGUAAAUCGGAUGGUUCAUACAUGCCUAGUAUGAAUAGUUAAAGAGUUGGUCCCAAGAACACCUCUAGGGUGCUCUGCUAUAAAUGACGCAAUCCCAAGAACAAACUUAGCCACCCAAAAAACAUGCCUACUCACACUCCAAAUAUGGAGCAGGAGUGGAUGGGCAGCACCGAGCAUGGUCUGACUGCAAAUCCAGCACUACAAACAUGCACUACAAAGACUUUGAUCAUCUACCCUCGUUUAAGAUCCUUAAUUUAUGUGGCCUUUAAUUCUGAGCCGCAAGGUGUGUAUCAACUGAAGGGCAACAUUUUAGGUCCAAACUCGAUCUAGAGCUGGUUAGAUCAAAUUUGAUUGCAUAUUUUUAGUCGUUACAUCCUAUCGCAUCUGAAACGCACCC